rnacentral:rRNA from 1 species
CAGUAGCCGCGGGAAAACGGAGGGGGCUAGCGUUGUUCGGAAUUACUGGGCGUAAAGCGCACGUAGGCUGCUUUGUAAGUCAGAGGUGAAAGCCCGGGGCUCAACCCCGGAUGUGCCUUUGAGACUGCAGGGCUAGAACGUCGGAGAGGUGAGUGGAAUUCCGAGUGUAGAGGUGAAAUUCGUAGAUAUUCGGAAGAACACCAGUGGCGAAGGCGGCUCACUGGACGACUGUUGACGCUGAGGUGCGAAAGCGUGGGGAGCAAACAGGAUUAGAUACCCCCGUAGUCCCUGUCUCUUAUAC